GUACUUACCUGGCUUAGGGAUACCGUGAUUAUGCAGGCGGUUUCCCCAGGGUGAGGCUGCUCCAUUGCACUGUGGAGUGGUUUUGACCCUUGCGAUUAUUUUAAUUUUUUAUAAGUUCCACUUCUACCGUGUGUGACAUGCACAAAUACAUAUUUUUUUAUUGGUUAGGAUGAUGGACGAGCUUACAGCCCACCUGGU
rnacentral:snRNA from 9 species